AAAGGAUUUGUAUGAAACACAAGGUGGCAAAGAUGUAGAAGAAAAAUUAAAUUAAUGCCAACAGUUCAGCUUGUUUAA
rfam:Otolemur garnettii clone CH256-323C23, complete sequence.